rnacentral:lncRNA from 1 species
GGGCAGUCAGGUUUCGUUAUCAUCGGGAUGAGGUUCUCCUCCUGUUCCCAACGGGGACGUGGGGGCUCAUAAGGACCAUCACAAGGGUCUCUCCCCCCAUCCGAUCUAAAAGAACUGGGCCUUCGACUUUGCUCAUGUCUGGAUGAGGUUCUCCUCCUAUUCCUGACAUGGCCGUGGGGGCACAUUAGGGCGUUACAAGGCCUCUCCCCCCAUCCGAUCUAAAAGAACCGGGCCUUUGACUUUGCUCAUGUCAGGACGAGGUUCUCCUCCUGUU